rnacentral:misc_RNA from 1 species
GGUCAACCCGCGCACCGGAUCGAUCUCGUGCCGCCACAGAUGUUCGAACGGGUCGCGCAGAUCAGUGCGUCCGACCGGCUGAUAGUCCGGCAGGAACAUCGGAAUCAGGCCCGCGUCCGAGGCGCCCNCGUUGUUCUGUCCGCGGAGCGGAUGAAGGCCGGUGCCGGGACGGCCGACCUGGCCGGUGAUCAAUGCCAGCGCGAUCAGGCAGCGCGCAUUGUCGGUGCCGUGGACGUGCUGGCUGAUGCCC